GAUCAUGGCUCCGGAUGAACGCUGGCGGCAUGCCUAAUACAUGCAAGUCGAACGAGAGGAAGGAAAGCUUGCUUUUCUGAAUCUAGUGGCGAACGGGUGAGUAACACGCAGGUAACCUGCCCAUGUGCCCGGGAUAACUUCUGGAAACGGAUGCUAAAACCGGAUAGGUAGCAGACAAGCAUUUGACUGCUAUUAAAGUGGCCUUGGCCAUGAACAUGGAUGGACCUGCGGUG
rnacentral:rRNA from 1 species